rnacentral:rRNA from 1 species
GGGCCCGCACAAGCGGUGGAGUAUGUGGUUUAAUUCGAUGCAACGCGAAGAACCUUACCAGGGUUUGACAUCCUGCGAAUCUCUUGGAAACAGGAGAGUGCCUUCGGGAACGCAGUGACAGGUGGUGCAUGGCUGUCGUCAGCUCGUGUCGUGAGAUGUUGGGUUAAGUCCCGCAACGAGCGCAACCCACGUCUUUAGUUGCCAGCAUUUAGUUGGGCACUCUAGAGAGACUGCCGGUGAUAAACCGGAGAAGGUGUGGAUGACGUCAAGUCAUCAUGCCCCUUACAUCUGGGCUACACACGUACUACAAUGCUACGGACAAAGGGCAGCUACACAGCGAUGUGAUGCGAAUCUCAAAAGCCUAUCGUAG